GACGAACGCUGGCGGCGUGCUUAACACAUGCAAGUCGAACGGAAAGGCCCUGCUUGCCGGGUACUCGAGUGGCGAACGGGUGAGUAACACGUGGGUGAUCUGCCCUGCACUUCGGGAUAAGCCUGGGAAACUGGGUCUAAUACCGGAUAGGAGCCAUUUUUAGUGUGAUGGUUGGAAAGUUUUUUCGGUGUAGGAUGAGCUCGCGGCCUAUCAGCUUGUUGGUGGGGUAAUGGCCUACCAAGGCGGCGACGGGUAGCCGGCCUGAGAGGGUGGACGGCCACAUUGGGACUGAGAUACGGCCCAGACUCCUACGGGAGGCAGCAGUGGGGAAUAUUGCACAAUGGGCGCAAGCCUGAUGCAGCGACGCCGCGUGGGGGAGGACGGCCUUCGGGUUGUAAACGCCUUUCGCUAGGGACGAAGCUUUUUGUGACGGUACCUAGAGAAGAAGCACCGGCUAACUACGUG
rnacentral:rRNA from 1 species